AACGAACGCUGGCGGCAUGCCUAACACAUGCAAGUCGAACGAGACCUUCGGGUCUAGUGGCGCACGGGUGCGUACCGCGUGGGAACCUGCCCUUAGGUUCGGAAUACCUCCCCGAAGGGGGUGCUAAUACCGGAUAAUGUCUUCGGACCAAAGAUUUAUCGCCUUUGGAUGGGCCCGCGUUGGAUUCGCUGGUUGGUAGGGUAAAAGCCUACCAAGGAGACGAUCCAUAGCUGGUCUGAGAGGAGGACCAGCCACACUGGGACUGAGACACGGCCCAGACUCCUACGGGAGGCAGCAGUGGGGAAUAUUGGACAAUGGGCGAAAGCGUGAUCCAGCAAUGCCGCGGGAGUGAUGAAGGCCUUAGGGUUGUAAAGCUCUUUUACCCGGGAUGAUAAUGACAGUACCGGGAGAAGAAGCUCCGGCUAACUCCGUG
rnacentral:rRNA from 1 species